GGCUGACCCACGACAAAAUGAACAUCUGCCAUCAGCUCAUUGUUGAACAUCACUGAAUUUCUGAAGGGAAAGAAAAGCAGAAGAACAAAAUCAACAGACGAACAAGACUGCAAACUUAAUGGAAAGUCCCCGCUGUGAAAGAACGGGACCAACAAUAAAGCUGUGCUCAUAUAUUAUUGAGUACAUGUCACUGGGGUGGGUAAACAGCCCCGCGACGUUCUGGAGAGACAACAAAAGCCAGAGCAGUGAAGGCUGGAGGAGUGGGAGAGGCUGUAAACAGAGGUCUCCCCAACAGAAUGAGGACAGUGCUGACAGAACACCGGCACAACGGCAGGGGCCGGUUGCAGCCGUCGAGGUACACCGAGGUUUUAAACGCAUACGGUUAACGUGUGCAGUUUAAAGCUGUUUCAAUAAGAUUCCAGUGGAUUGGCUGGAAUGACUGCUGAGCACUGCUUGUCCAGAUGGCUGAGAAAAAGGCUCCUUCCUACACUUUUCUCUUGCUCACAAAAAUUGAUACAUUUUGCCGUUUGGAAACAUUUUAAUUUGUGAAACACAUGAACAAUAUGUAAUCUAAAAGACUGCAACCCAUUGCUCUUAUUAAGGUGAUAUUGUUUUAAAUUUGAUAAGCUGCAGAAUGUCAGAUAGCUACCUAAGCAGAUAGCCAGACCACCUAACCUGUUAAUACCAGAUUGUUACACUACUAUGAAGAUUAUGAAUAUUUGAAGUUCAAUUUCCCAACUGCAAAAAGCAAGAAUUUUAACACCAUUACAAAUUAUUUAUGGUCUACUUUAAUAAAAACAACAAAAUUGUUAUAUUUUUUGUUUUAAUUUUCAUUCAAUGAUCCUUAUACUGUUUUUUUUCUUUUUUACUUAAGACAAUCAUACCAUGACACUCUCACAUUCACUAUAGCUAACCACAAAUAUGAAGGUCACUAGCUUGCAUUAGUUCUGUCUGAGAUACUGAUAAAUGAGAAUCUUUCUACAAGUUUCUCAUUCAUCAGUACACAUGUAAGUCUCCAAAUAGUUGCAGUCAUGAGAAUCAUUUGUGUUGCAGUGUGCAGCUUCCCUGU